UUAACUUAUUAUAAUAUUACUCAGACAAUACAAAAAUCAAGAGUUUAGGUCCUCUGGCAGACACGGACCAGCUUAAAGCCAGUAGUCAAAAGACAGGCCUGCCAAAGCAACAAAGGUAAUAUAAACAAAGGGUGGGAGAUCUACCCCAAAGGGCAAUUCUCUGUAAUGAUCCUUCCGCAGGUUCACCUACGGAACGCUAUAGUCUACAACCCUUUCCCAGGUUCACCUACGGAACGCUAUAGUCUACAACCCUUUCAGAAGUAGGCCGGUCAUAUCUGAAUCCAAGAGAGCCCUCUUGGACCACCUUCGUUUGAUCUGUGAACUGCUAUAAGCAGCUGCAUGUUACCCUGACGGUAUCCAAGCACAGUGAAGAUGUUGCCUAUGUAGGUAGACUUGUAUCCAAGGCUUCUGCAGGUGUUGUUCUGCCAGAGAAA
rnacentral:misc_RNA from 1 species